rnacentral:rRNA from 1 species
AGAGUUUGAUCCUGGCUCAGAACGAACGCUGGCGGCAGGCUUAACACAUGCAAGUCGAACGCACCUUCGGGUGAGUGGCAGACGGGUGAGUAACGCGUGGGAACGUGCCCUUCAGUUCGGAAUAACCCAGGGAAACUUGGGCUAAUACCGGAUACGUGCGAGAGCAGAAAGAUUUAUCGCUGAAGGAUCGGCCCGCGUCUGAUUAGCUAGUUGGUGGGGUAAUGGCCCACCAAGGCGACGAUCAGUAGCUGGUCUGAGAGGAUGAUCAGCCACAUUGGGACUGAGACACGGCCCAAACUCCUACGGGAGGCAGCAGCGGGGAAUAUUGGACAAUGGGCGCAAGCCUGAUCCAGCCAUGCCGCGUGAGUGAUGAAGGCCUUAGGGUUGUAAAGCUCUUUCGGCGGGGACGAUAAUGACGGUACCCGCAGAAGAAGCCCCGGCUAACUUCGUGCCAGCAGCCGCGGUAAUACGAAGGGGGCUAGCGUUGUUCGGAAUCACUGGGCGUAAAGGGCGCGUAGGCGGCUUGAUAAGUCGGGGGUGAAAGCCUGUGGCUCAACCACAGAAUUGCCUUCGAUACUGUCUGGCUUGAGACCGGAAGAGGUAAGUGGAACUGCGAGUGUAGAGGUGAAAUUCGUAGAUAUUCGCAAGAACACCAGUGGCGAAGGCGGCUUACUGGUCCGGUUCUGACGCUGAGGCGCGAAAGCGUGGGGAGCAAACAGGAUUAGAUACCCUAGUAGUCC